CUAUCUUAUGUGAGAACAUAUCUUGGCCUUUGAAUCAUUUUUAAUCUAACAGCUGAAAAUCAAGGGAUUCCUAAGGGCAUUUUUGUAAAUUUGUUCAAGAUAUAACUAACCAAUCUCCUUUCCUUUUCACGCUUAUUUCUUUCUCUCUCUAACCUAUGUUUUCUCCCUAUGUUUUCUCUCCUCUCUCUCUCCUCUACUGCCGCCAUCACCAGGACUUCAAUCAAGGUCGAAUUGAUCUCAAAUUCGCUUCAGAAUUCAAUUAUAUUCUCGAAUACAUUCAUCUAAUUGCUUAUUUAAAGAUCAAUAUUCUUCUGUUUGAGCAAUGACAUCGAAAGUUCAUCACAAUCCAACCUCAUCAUUGACGGAAUUCAGGAAUAUACUAUUGACAUGCUACUAGUGUUGUUGAUGGUCAGUUGGAGUGUUUUUAGCAAGCAGACAUUGAGUUGUGAAGACCGGACUACUUAAUGAAGUUGGUGGAGUGUAGUUUAGUUUUGUAAAUUAUGGUUUAAGUUGACCGUUGACUACUGUUCUAAUUUUCGUUACAGUAAUAUAUUUAUCCGAUCCCCAUUGUGUAUGUUCUAAUUAUCGUUGUGUAUGUUCUAAUUAUUGGUGCAUAUGUUUCUUUAUUAUUCUAUAAUCCAA